rnacentral:rRNA from 1 species
AUUCCGGUUGAUCCUGCCGGAGGCCAUUGCUAUCGGAGUCCGAUUUAGCCAUGCUAGUCGUGCGAGUUCAGACUCGCGGCACCGAGCUCAGUAACACGUGGCCAAACUACCCUACAGAGACGGAUACCCUCGGGAAACUGAGGUUAACCCGUCAUACCGAUCUCAGGCUUGAAUCGCAGAGAUCACAAAACGCCCCGGCGCUGUAGGAUGUGGCUGCGGUUGAUUAGGUAGACGGUGGGGUAACGGCCCACCGUGCCCAUAAUCAGUACGGGUUGUGAGAGCAAGAACCUGGAGACGGAAUCUGAGACAAGAUUCCGGGCCCUACGGGGCGCAGCAGGCGCGAAACCUUUACACUGCACGCACGUGCGAUAAGGGGACUCCGAGUGCGAGGGCAUAUCGUCCUCGCUUUCGUGUACCGUAGGGUGGUACACCAACAAGGGCUGGGCAAGACCGGUGCCAGCCGCCGCGGUAAUACCGGCAGCCCGAGUGAUGGCCGAUCUUAUUGGGCCUAAAGCGUCCGUAGCU